UGAUCUGAAUCUGACCAAUACCUUUGGGAUCAAGGAGGUAGAAACUCCUCGUUCUCUUAUCUAGAGGUGGAGACUAAGGUCCCGUGAGGUGUGAUGAUUUUCCUAUAUAUUUCAUGGGAUUGGGGCCCAGGCUGUUGACCUGUAUUAGGCAGGCAUCCGCAGCUUAUCCUGAGAUUCAGCAUCAUUAUUUUCCACGUAUGAACAUGUGCAAAUGGACGUUAUACCACUCUGCCACAUCCAACCUCUUGGCCACACCUUUAAACAGCCAGAGAUCUCCUUGCUCAGCAUAGGAAAUGCUGAGGGGAUCACUCAUCUUCUAAGGUCAUGCUUAAAUGAAGCUCUGGCUUUGAGAACACACAGCGAGGAUGAAGAGGGCCAAGAAUUCUGUCCAGUACACAUCGGCUGCUACAAGCCUUUGGGGACAACCUCUUGUUUCAAAUAUGAGCACGUGUACGGAGAGGCUUUUCCUCGAAUUUAACCUUUGAAUGAAAAAUGUCAAUAUUUUAAGAAAUGUCCCCACGUUA
rnacentral:lncRNA from 1 species